rnacentral:lncRNA from 1 species
CCUUCAGGACAUCUCGUGUGGGCUGAGCAGCUGCGGAUAGGGAGCUUCUUCCGAACAGACAGGACACCUGGUUGCUGAACACGAUGAAAAUGGUCCUGAAACUAAUUGUUUUAGAAAUUUGUGGAUCCGCAGAUCCUGGGAUUUCGUUCAUUGAAAAAAGAACCUCCCCCCAACGGACAGAACCGCGGGAAAUGCGCAACUGCGCCAACAUCUGAAACUUCAUACGAACGUCUCGUGUGGGAAAUUGGCUUUCUUCAUUGCUCCCAAUUUGCAUUGACCUUUACUCAAUAAAAAGAGACAGAGCUCGGCACUAUUCAACAGGACACCGCUCACAGAUCAGCCGGAAACCUGCUGCAUUCUGUCAAGAUGAGAGUUGCUUUGAGUAUCCUGAUGUUCGCUUUAGCUGCGGCUGAUGUGAUUGACUACAGUUGCGUGUGUCGAGUCGCCUUCUGGGACGUCCAGGGAAUUCGCACGUUCGCCGAGAUUGAAGGAGGUGUAGUUCAGGCCCCGGCAGACGACUGCCCAGUCGAAGCGGAAGCCAAAUGCAAAGAGCCGUGCAAAGCUGAAUUCAGAAAGCAGGCGGCACAGCUCGCCAACACAGCCUGUACUAAGUUUCCCCACAAGAAACGGGACGCUGUGCUUUUGGUUGUGACUGUAAAACAGAAGCCAUGUCUCCCUCUGCUGGCCACAAUGAACAGCACCACCUUCCUCUGUGAAGACGGAAAACCUACCGCCUUCCAGCCACUCACUCUGGAGAACAUGGCUGACACCUUCAAUAGCUAA